CGAUAACGCUAGCACCUUUUGCGGUCAAUAGUGAAAAAAUCACCCGGAAUGGCUCCUUCGCAUGGUAUCUGCUUCACAACGAGCAAACCAUCGAGACCAUGGUGGAUAACCAGCGUCGUCCAUCCGGCCAGCACUCGUAUGAAGCUGUUCAGUGCGGAUUUGGCCCCCAAUGUGAUCACCCCUACAAUCGCUCCAACCAGCCAAAGGAUACCCCUCGUAGCCCUCAAAAGGGUAUCAAAUGAAAUGGGCGAGGC